CAAUCUGUCACUUGAGAAUUCUGUGGGAUAAAUGCUUAUAUUGACAAUGUCCAUCUGAUUAAAAUAAUAACUUACUUUUAUAAUCUUGAGUGAAUUAAAAUGAAAUAGUAUUUUUGUGAAAUCCAUUCCCUACUAUUAAUGUAAUGAAAGGAAGAGUUUUGCCAAGAUUUUUUUAGAUAUUUUUCCACUUAAAAAAUAUAUUUAUUAUAUGAAAACUGAUUUGUUUGCUUAUUUUACUCUUUCAAAUUAAGGAUCCUGUAGAGGACCUGAAGUUGAUGCUAUGCAUUGUUUCUUGUCUUCUGGAAAUCCUUUUAUGCUGAAUAGGCUAUAAAACUGUAGAAAUCCCUAUGGAAUAUCUAUAUCUGGUAGCAUCUCUGUAUAUGCACGGACUUUUCCUAUAUGAGAAAAACCACAUGAAUUACGAUUAUCAUUUUAUGGUCAUCUCUAGCCUUUAAAGUGACAAAAGAAAAGUGCAGUCUCAUGGGGGAACGUAUAGAAGGUGACACAUGGAGAUACUAAUGAUGGUGCCGACUGCAGUGUCAAACUGAAUGAGAAAAAAGCAGGAAAAAGGUUCGUUCAUUUCAAAUUCACAUCUGCCUUGUCUGGGUUGCAGUUUCAGGGAAAAUGUGGAAGCGGUGGCCAUUAAUUCCUUGAGGCCAGAGAACAUUACCUGACAGGUCUUCAAAUUGAAAGAAGAAUUGUAUGUGAGGAUCCUCAUGCACACUUGGACUUUAUUUAAGUCAUGAUAUCUUGUACUUCAAACCAGAGCCUAAUUCUGUAAUGGGAUGAGGUUUUAGAGGUAAUGGGAGUGACUGAGCGUAUUUUACUUGUGGGAAGAACAUGAAUCAUUACAUGAUAGAGGGUAAAUUAGUAGUCUGUUACAUUGUUCAUUGCCAAUGGAUCAUGCCAUAUUCACACUCUUGUGUAGCUCUUUCCCUUGACUAUGGACUGGCUUAAAGACUGCUUUGAACACUAUAAUGUAGGUUAGAGGCCUAGGACUUCUGAGUUCAGGCAUUAAGAAGAUUUGGUAGCCCUCAUUUAUUUUUUUACCACUUGAGAGCCCUGAGCUGCUACAGAAGAACUCCAGCUGCCAUGUUGGAGAGGUGACAUGGAGAGGAAGAGGCAUUGAGACUGGAGGAAAAUUGAGGAACCUAGGUGAUUGUGAGCACCAUGGCCCCAGACAAAUGAUGUCACUUGAGUCUGCUUACUCUACUUACUCUCCAGCGAUUUGAACUAUUCUAGCUGAGGUACCAGUUAUGUGAGUGAAGAAGCCAUCUCAGACACGCCAACACCAGCAUUCACAAAGUAGGGCAGGGGCCGGCCUGGUGGCACAGCAGUUAAUUUCGCAUGUUCUGCUUCUUGGUGGCCUGGGGUUCACCAGUUCAGAUCCUGGGUGUGGAUGUGGCACCGCUUGGCACACCAUGCUGUGGUAGGCGUCCCACAUAUAAAGUAGAGGAAGACGGGCACAGAUGUUAGCUCAGGGCUAGGCUUCCUCAGUAAAAAGAGGAGGACUGGCAGUAGUUAGCUCAGGGCUAACCUUCCUCAAAAAAAAAAGGGCAGAAAUGAGCCAUCCCAGUUGUGCCCUUUUCAAAUUCCUGACUCCCAAUCCUGAGGAAUAAUAAAGGAUAUAUAUGCCUAUCUAACACAGAUACUUCAAAUCUCACUGGAUCUUUUGAGUCACAAAGUCCAAAUGGCAGGGAGGGUUGCACUUGGCCUGGAUUUGUUAAGGAAUCCACUCAAAACUGGCAAUCUUUUGGGCUACUUGGUGACUGAGUUAGAAAAUGACAAGAAAUGUGGCACAUAUUACCUUCAUAAUCCAAGGACAUCCACCAAAUAUUGUGCCUCUUCUUCACUGUGAGCAGUGUAAGGUUAAAAAUUACCCCCAUCUUGUGUGUUUAUCUCCUGGACUAUUAUUAUUUCAGUUCUGUGUCAGGCAGGAUCCAAUCAGGAGACCAAAACCACAUGGUAAUUUGAACAGAAGUUUAAUAUAAGAAAUUAUUAACUCUCAUAGACAGUUGGAGUAAUGACUAGAAUUGGGUUAGGAUAACUAAAGAAUACUGGAAUAGCAGACAUAGGGAGCAGUUACCAUCCCUAGGGCUGAGAUAGAGCAUCCAAGGAAGAGCCUCUCUACCACUCUGGGCUAAGAUCCAGAUCUUGUUGGAGAGCAUGCAGUUCACUGGAUGGUGGAGGAGUUUGCUGAGGUGGUGUGCCAGUAGGACUCACUGAGAAUGUGCUUUCUGGGAGCUGGAGAAAGCUGUCCAUCGAGAGAUGGUUCACCUCAGAACCUACUACCAAGCUUUCCAAGGGCUGCUAAAGGAAGGCUUCUAAAGGGAGGUGCCAUACUUCAGAAAUCAUUGCAAAGCCAUCCAAGGAUGAGCCAUUCAUGGGUGGUGCCAGAUGCUGUUAGCUCCAGGUACUGCUGACCCUCGUGUCCUUUGGGAGCUGAGCACUACAGAAGUCACCUUAGAGGGCACUGAGGGAAGCUAUUCACGGGGAUGUGUCAUACAUUAUUGACCCAUAGUACUAUAUAUAGUAUAGGAGAAAUAUGUACAGGUUGCAAAGCAGGCAGUGAAGGGUGGAUUUGGAUGUGAGAGGCACUAAAUUAGUAACUGGAGCACCAGCCAUUACAUAUUUAUUUCUGUUAAUUCUAUAUCAAGGAAGUAACCUAAAUUAGAAAUUUUGUGGGUAUCUUGUUUCACAACUACGUACUGAUUACAAUAAAUGCUUUCAUUUUAAUGUCGUUUUAUUAAUGACCCAGAGGUAUAUAAAUCAAAUUUAUAUAUGACUCAAAGCUGGAAGAGCUAGCCAACAAAUGGUGGGUAAUGGCACAUAGUGGGUAUUCCAAUAAAUAUUUGUUAGAUGAAUUGUUAGGUAAAUGGAUAACUGUAUUAUCCUUUAAAAAGAUUUCAAAAGACUCAAAUCAACUUUUGACAUUUUAAUAAAUUUUCAAAAAUUAAUUCCAAGUAAUAGGAUGGAGGAGGAGUAUAGGAGAUUUUUAUGACAAUUCUUUAAAAAGAUAGAAGGAUUUUAGGUGACUCUAAGCUCAAAAUGAGCUAAAUGAAAGAAAGGGGGAAAAAAAAAUCUAGGCAGAUUCCAGAUCUAGAAAUGAGGUUAGUUUCUCCUUUAGAGAUUCCUCUGGUAAAAUGGUAGUAUCUUCCCAUAGCUAUCUUUUGAUAAGAAUUGUGAAUCUGCUUUGGGGCUCAGUGGUAAAUAGUUUAGUGAUUGAUUAGCAUUAUAUGAGUGUGGGAGGGAGCAGUAUCAAGUGAGAUAAUGGCUUCAAUCUUGCCCACUGGUAUGUCAACUUCUGCAAUAUUGUGUUCUAUGCUGGAUAUCACAUUUAAGGGUUAAUUGAAGCAAAUGUUUUUACUAUUUUUAGAAUUUUAUGAAAGUCAUGAGCUUUCUCUUGGAAGAAUGCACAUUGCAUAUAUAUGUAAAAUUUUGUAUGCAACUGCAAAAGCUUCAUGGAAUCUAGAUUAAGAAUUCUUGAGUUGGAGGAUAUAGGAAAACAUACCUAAAUAAUAAUUAAUAGGAGCUACAUUUAGUGAACAGUUCUAUGGGCCAGUGCUCUACUAGGCAAUAGCAUAUAUAAUAUCUCCUUUAAGAUGCAACAACAAUAUUGCAAAAUGGAUAGUAUUACUUCCAUUUUGCAAUAGAGGUAACUGACAGUGAGAGACAUUCUGUAAUUCACUUAAAAUCACACAAUGGCACAUCUGGAAUUCCAGCUCAAGUACCUCUCACUCAAAGCUCAUUGUUUCCGUUUUCUAUAAAGGAACAUAUUUUGCAUAUAAUGCUUAGUAAAUGUUUGAACAGUAAAUAAAUGAAAAGCUUCCAUGUGGAAAAUAGCUUAUUUUGUAUUGCUCUGGAAGGAGUGCAUGGGUAGAACUUAUAUGGAGUGAUGUUUGAUAUUUGAAAUUUAUUUUUUGAAAAACCCUACUUUACUAGUCCUUUGCAUUUACUUAUUUGUUUGUCUCUUUUAAGACCUUGCUUUCACGUAUAAUUUCACAUGACUUUCACCCUAUGAGGAAGAUAAGGUAGAUAUAAUUACCACUGUUUUAUAGAUAAUGACACUCAAACAAAAGGAUUAAGUGAUUUGCUCAAGGUCAGACAGCAAAUUACGAUCAGAGUUCCAGGUCUCCUCUAGUCAUCUAGUCUCAGCUCCUUCAACCAUGGUAUUCUGCUUCUCAGAACAUCUCACUGGAAAAUGAGACAUAAGACAAUAACAGGGACGUGAUAUAUUUAGGUGUGAUACAGUCCACUUUGGCUGCCCAGAUAAAUGAAAACAUCCAUUUAGAAAGUCUAAAUUAAUUAUUAAUAAUUCAUAUUUAUAUCGUCCCUACUGCUGUAAAGGAGUUCAGAGAUGUACAGUUAAACGUCCUGACUCUUGGAAUUGAAGAAUAUGACUUCUGAAUCUUUGGGGGGAAAAUUUCACACUAGGGCUCACUGGUAACAAAGGAUUCCAUAGGAGCUUCCCUGCUGCCUUUUUCUCUUCCUUCUACUACUAUUCCUCCCAAGAUUAGCAAAAGUUCCUUCUUCUUCCCUGUAUUUACAAAGCAAAGUGCAAGGUUUCACAGGGUACCUUAGCUAUGACCUAAUUCCAGUGCUUGUGUUAAUUACUCUAAGUGUUUUAUGUGGAAUUUUACAAUUUACAGAGUUCUUUCAUGUACAUUGUGUCUAUUGAUCUUCAAACCACUCUGAUAGGCAGAACAGACCUUGUUUAUCCUGAUUUUAGGAAUAAAAAAAUUGGGGUCCAGAGAGGUUGAAAGACUUCCACUAAUCACACAGCUAUAUGUAGUAGAUGCAGGGUUUAAGUCCACCUGCUUUUCUGCCUCUUUCCACUAACAGACCUGAGAGAAGAGAGUCCAAUAAGUACAAAUUGGAAAGUGGAUGAUUUUUGUAGUUAGCAGCAGCACUGAAAGCUUUCAGGACGACUUGGAUCUGUUUUUUGAGCUACCUUCAAUCUUGUUUUUUAGGACAGUCUGUUUACCUAUUCUGGUAUGGAGCAAUCUGGUUUUCUUUGCUGUGUUCAGAACUUCUCUUAGGAAAAGUAAAGGGGACAAAUUGUUCUCAUGACAGUUCCAGGUUUUUGGAUGGAUCCAGAAGUUUUUUCUGAACCUGUCAAGUGCUCCCAAUGAUUGAGAUUUUGGCUGGAGAUGCUUUUGGCAGUUCACUCAAGUACAACCCUCUUAUCUUUCCUCCCUCUGCUUGUUUUUGUCAAGUUAGGGCCCAACUUACAUAGGUCUGACUAUUUAUUAGAGAGGGCCAAGAAUGAAAACAAAAAGGGAAUCUAUUCACACUUUCAAAGGUAAACCACACUCCAUUUGCUUUUUUUAAAAAAUGAGAUAUUGACAUAUAACAUUAUAUUAGUUUCAGGUGUACAACAUAAUGAUUUGAUAUUUGUAUAUGUUGCAAAAUGAUCACAAUAAGUCUAGUUAACAUCCUUCACCACACAUAGUUACAAAAAUAUUUUUUUCUUAUGAUGAAAGCUUUUAAGAUCUACUCUCUUAGCAAAUUUCAAAUAUAAAAUAUUCAGUAUUAUUAACUGUAGUUACCAUGCUGUACAUUACAUCCCCAGGACCUAUUUAUUUUAUAACUAGAAGUUUGUACCUUUUGACUUCCUUCACCCAUUUUGCCCACUCCUACCCCUCACCUCUGGCAACCACCAAUCUGUUCUCUGUAUCUAUGAGCUUGGUGUUAUUUUUUGAUUCCAUAUAUAAGUGAGAUCAUAUAGUAUUUGUCUUUCUCUGUCUGACUUACUUCACUUAGCAUAAUGCCCGC
ensembl:lncRNA